rnacentral:rRNA from 1 species
GACGAACGCUGGCGGCGUGCUUAACACAUGCAAGUCGAACGGAAAGGCCCUGCUUUUGUGGGGUGCUCGAGUGGCGAACGGGUGAGUAACACGUGAGUAACCUGCCCUUGACUUUGGGAUAACUUCAGGAAACUGGGGCUAAUACCGGAUAGGAGCUCCUGCUGCAUGGUGGGGGUUGGAAAGUUUCGGCGGUUGGGGAUGGACUCGCGGCUUAUCAGCUUGUUGGUGGGGUAGUGGCUUACCAAGGCUUUGACGGGUAGCCGGCCUGAGAGGGUGACCGGCCACAUUGGGAGGGAGAGACGGCCAAGACUCCGCGGGGAGGAGGGGGGGGGGAAUUUGGCACAGGGGGGGGAAGCUGGAUGCAGCAACCCCGGGGGGGGGAGGGCGGCUGGGGGGUUGUAACCCUCUUGCGCUUGUGACGAAGGGGGGGGGAGGUAAAGGGGAAAAGAGCACCGGAAAAACCAGGGC